rnacentral:piRNA from 1 species
AGUCUGUGAUUCCUAGCUGGUGGAG